rnacentral:rRNA from 1 species
AGAGUUUGAUCCUGGCUCAGGACGAACGCUGGCGGCGUGCCUAAUACAUGCAAGUAGAACGCUGAAGAGAGGAGCUUGCUCUUCUUGGAUGAGUUGCGAACGGGUGAGUAACGCGUAGGUAACCUGCCUUGUAGCGGGGGAUAACUAUUGGAAACGAUAGCUAAUACCGCAUAACAAUGGAUGACUCAUGUCAUUUAUUUGAAAGGGGCAAAUGCUCCACUACAAGAUGGACCUGCGUUGUAUUAGCUAGUAGGUGAGGUAACGGCUCACCUAGGCGACGAUACAUAGCCGACCUGAGAGGGUGAUCGGCCACACUGGGACUGAGACACGGCCCAGACUCCUACGGGAGGCAGCAGUAGGGAAUCUUCGGCAAUGGGGGCAACCCUGACCGAGCAACGCCGCGUGAGUGAAGAAGGUUUUCGGAUCGUAAAGCUCUGUUGUAAGUCAAGAACGAGUGUGAGAGUGGAAAGUUCACACUGUGACGGUAGCUUACCAGAAAGGGACGGCUAACUACGUGCCAGCAGCCGCGGUAAUACGUAGGUCCCGAGCGUUGUCCGGAUUUAUUGGGCGUAAAGCGAGCGCAGGCGGUUUGAUAAGUCUGAAGUUAAAGGCUGUGGCUCAACCAUAGUUCGCUUUGGAAACUGUCAAACUUGAGUGCAGAAGGGGAGAGUGGAAUUCCAUGUGUAGCGGUGAAAUGCGUAGAUAUAUGGAGGAACACCGGUGGCGAAAGCGGCUCUCUGGUCUGUAACUGACGCUGAGGCUCGAAAGCGUGGGGAGCGAACAGGAUUAGAUACCCUGGUAGUCCACGCCGUAAACGAUGAGUGCUAGGUGUUGGAUCCUUUCCGGGACUCAGUGCCGCAGCUAACGCAUUAAGCACUCCGCCUGGGGAGUACGACCGCAAGGUUGAAACUCAAAGGAAU